AUUGAACGCUGGCGGCAGGCUUAACACAUGCAAGUCGAGGGGUAUAGUUCUUCGGAACUAGAGACCGGCGCACGGGUGCGUAACGCGUAUGCAAUCUACCUUUUACAGGGGGAUAGCCCAGAGAAAUUUGGAUUAAUACCCCAUAGUAUGUUAGAGUGGCAUCAUUUUAACAUUAAAGUUCCAACGGUAAAAGAUGAGCAUGCGUCCCAUUAGCUAGAUGGUAAGGUAACGGCUUACCAUGGCGACGAUGGGUAGGGGUCCUGAGAGGGAGAUCCCCCACACUGGUACUGAGACACGGACCAGACUCCUACGGGAGGCAGCAGUGAGGAAUAUUGGACAAUGGGCGCAAGCCUGAUCCAGCCAUGCCGCGUGCAGGAAGACGGUCCUAUGGAUUGUAAACUGCUUUUGUACAGGAAGAAACACUCCCUCGUGAGGGAGCUUGACGGUACUGUAAGAAUAAGGAUCGGCUAACUCCGUGCCAGCCGCCGCAGUAAAAC
rnacentral:rRNA from 1 species